rnacentral:RNase_P_RNA from 2 species
GAGAGAGGUUGGACGGCUGUCGGUGACAGUAUUGUUGCUGAGGAAAGUCCUCCCACCUUCCGAGAGCACGGGCAUCUGCAAAGAUGUGUGGCGAGAGCCAUGUCAAUGGCACAGAAACGAUACCGAUCUGCACCUAUGCGAUGAUGCUGUGAGGCUGAGGUCGUGCAGUCUUCGGAUGGAACGCGUGAAUACCCGUGGGUGCAAGCCAGAUGUGGGCCAGAGUGUCUUUCUCGGGGGCAAUGGGCUCGAGUGUGGCGCUUAGCUGAACGCCGUCAAAAGACACGCCAGAAGCCGAAGGGGGCUUAUCGUGUAAAACAGCAGGAGGCUUACACACCUCACUC